rnacentral:rRNA from 1 species
AUACGGAGGGUGCAAGCGUUGUCCGGAUUUAUUGGGUUUAAAGGGUGCGUAGGCGGAUAUAUAAGUCAGUGGUGAAAUACUUCAGCUCAACUGGAGAGGUGCCAUAGAAACUGUAUAUCUUGAGUGAAGUCGAAGUAGGCGGAAUUGAUGGUGUAGCGGUGAAAUGCAUAGAUAUCAUCAAGAACACCGAUAGCGAAGGCAGCUUACUUGGUUUCAACUGACGCUGAUGCACGAAAGCGUGGGGAGCGAACAGGAUUAGAUACCCCGGUAGUCC